CUGGCUCAGGAUAAACGCUGGCGGCGCACAUAAGACAUGCAAGUCGAACGGACGAGUAGGAUUCUUUAGUUUCUACAAGUUAGUGGCGGACUGGUGAGUAACGCGUGAGCAACCUACCUAUAAAAGGGGAAUAACAGGGAGAAAUCUUUGCUAAUACCGCAUAAGCUGAUAGGAUCGCAUGAUCUAGUCAGAAAAGGAGCAAUUCGAUUAUAGAUGGGCUCGCGUCCGAUUAGCUAGUUGGUGAGAUAACAGCCCACCAAGGCGACGAUCGGUAGCCGGACUGAGAGGUUGAACGGCCACAUUGGGACUGAGAUACGGCCCAGACUCCUACGGGAGGCAGCAGUCGGGAAUAUUGCGCAAUGGAAGGAAACUCUGACGCAGUGACGCCGCGUAUAGGAAGAAGGUUUUCGGAUUGUAAACUAUUGUCGUUAGGGAAGAGAAAGGACGGUACCUAAGGAGGAAGCCCCGGCUAACUAUGUGCCAGCCGCUGC
rnacentral:rRNA from 1 species